rnacentral:rRNA from 1 species
UACGAAGGGUGCAAGCGUUAAUCGGAAUUACUGGGCGUAAAGCGUGCGUAGGUGGUCUUUUAAGUCCGUUGUGAAAGCCCUGGGCUCAACCUGGGAAUGGCAGUGGAUACUGGAAGGCUGGAGUACGGUAGAGGAGGGUGGAAUUCCCGGUGUAGCGGUGAAAUGCGCAGAUAUCAGGAGGAACACCGGUGGCGAAGGCGGAUCUCUGGGCCGAUACUGACGCUGAGGAGCGAAAGCAUGGGGAGCGAACAGG